AGAAGAUGGCAAUAAGGUUGUGAUUUUGAGGUCAAAACCAGGCACAAGCAGCUCAAUGGGUGGCCCUAUGGACAAAUUCUGCAAGCCUGGUAUAGAAGAAACUGUCAAGAGGAAGCAAAAAAGAAAUUGUGAAUCCGAAAAGGUUCAGUCGAAGGUGUCAACUCAGCAAAGACAACAAAGGAGGGAUAGAGCUUGUGGAUAUAUAUGUCAAUUUUUCUAUGAAGCUAGCAUCCCACAUAACACUGUCACACUUCCUAGCUUUGCAUGUAUGCUUCAGGCCAUUGGAGAUGUUGGCACAAACUUCGAUGGGCCUACUGCAUAUGAGAUGAGUGGACCAUUCUUGCAGAAAAGGAAGAAGAAGGUGUUAGAUUCAUUCAAACCACAUAAGCAAGCAUGGGAGCACACAGGUUGUACCGUAAUGACAGAUGCAUGGACAGAUAAAAAGGGCAGGGGAGUAAUGAACCUAGUUGUGCAUAGUUCUCAGGGAGUCAUAUUCUUGAAUUCAGUUGAUUGUUCAUCUGUCCAAAAAAAUGGCAAAUACAUCUUUGACCUCGUUGAUAAUUGCAUUGAAGAUAUAGGGGCAGACAAAGUCGUUCAAGUGGUGACCGACAAUGCUAGUGUCAAUGUAGCAGCAGCAAGUCUAAUGAAAGCAAAGCGGCCUUCCAUUUUUUAGAAUGGAUGUGCAGCCCAUUGUAUUGAUCUCAUGUUGGAGGACAUAGGGAAGCUUGGAUCGGUUGACAGAAUAAUUGCCCAAGCAAGACAAGUAAUGGUGUUCUUGUAUGCUCACACAAGGGUGUUAGCUCUGAUGAGGAAAACACUUGGGAAAGACUUGGUACGGUCAGGUGUUACUAGGUUUGCCACGGCUUAUCUCAAUCUUAAAAGCUUGCAAGAUAACAAGAAGGAAAUGCUUAAACUAUUCAGAUCAGAUGAGCUACAUGAAAUGGGUUACUUAGAGAAGGACAAGGGGAAGAUGGCUCACAAAACGGUGCAAUCGGAAGCCUUCUGGAAAGGUGUUGGCGUUGCUGUCAACUACUUUGAGCCAAUGGCUAAUGUGCUAAGAAGAAUGGAUAGUGAUGUGCCCGCAAUGGGAUUCUUAUAUGGUUGUAUGUUGGAUGCAAAAAAGGAAAUUGCUGCGAGUUUUGAUAAUGAUGAGAGUCGCUUCAAAUGUGUUAUUGAUAUCAUUGACAAGAGAUGGGACAGCAAACUCAAGUCGCCACUACAUUUGGCUGGGUACUUUCUGAACCCCUACUAUUAUUAUCCAAACAAGGUUGUGAUAGAGAGGGAUGGAUCAUUUAGAGCAGCCGUGGUCCAUUGCAUCACAAGGAUGAUUGAAGAUCAAAAAACUCAAGAUGAGCUUAUUGAUGAACUCGACAAAUAUGAGGCGGAGGAAGAUUCAUUUGGAAUGGACAUUGCUGUACGACAGAGAAAAAGGAAAAACUUUUCUCCAGGUGAGUGUUUGCUGAAAUCUUGUGAUGUUAUUUCAUAUCACUUCCUCUGUUUCCCCUCUUUGUACUUGCCUAACUAAUAUAAUGUUUCAAUGUCUUAAUGCAGCAAAAUGGUGGCUGAAUUAUGGCACAUGUGCACCCCUGUUGAAGGACUUGGCAAUGAAGUUUUUGAGUUUGACAUGUAGCUCCUCAGCUUGUGAGAGAAAUUGGUCAGCAUUUGAACAAGUUCAUACAAAGAAACGCAGCAGGCUACUCCAUGAUAGGAUGAGUGAUCUUGUAUUUAUCAAGUUCAACUCUAGGAUGAAGCAUAAGAGAGAGAACAAGAGUAGAGACCCAAUAGAGAAGACAAUCGUUGAUGUUCUUGAGGACGAGGAUAACGAGUUCAUCACCGGCAUUGUUGGAAAUGAUAAUGUUGUUGAACAUGUUGGUGAUGAAGAUCAAACUCAACAAGAGAGAGCUUCAACAUCACAAGAACAAGGGAAAAAGAAGAAGAGGCCUACUGCGCCCCCUAGAAAGAAGAGGAAGAAGAGCUUGCAAUCUCUCCUUAAUAGUGUCGAUGAGGAAGCUAUACUUUCUGCCUCUUCCAAUUCUUCUUCGUCGGAAUCAGAAGAUGAGUCUCCCUCGGCCCUUGCUGACUCGGAUUAAUUGCAUGGUUGGGUGUACCACUUUUGUUGUUUCAAAGUGUGCCGGUGGUAUGUCGUUAUGUUGCUAUGUCAAGUUAGUUGGCUGAACUUAUAAACCGGACCAUCUCAUGUUGUUGAUGUACCACUUUUGUUAUUCAAAGUGUGCUGGUGGUAUGUUGCUAGUUGCUAUGCCAAACUUUGCUCUGUUAUGUAAUGAAUUGAACCAUCUCCUGAUAUAUGUCCUUAUUAUGUAUUGUACUAUAUGGAGCUGUUCUUUGCAUUAUGACUAUGAGUUUAGGACUUGCUGCUAUAGUUUAUGAACUGCACUAUGUUAUGUGGCUGUUUGCAUGAGUAUGGUAGGAACUACAUAAUACAGUAUCAUUUUUCUAUUAACUUGGCUGUAUGCUAGUUGAUAUAUGUCCAUUUUCAAGUAUAUAUAUGUCAAGUUGAUGACUGAUUCUAUGUUUAUUUUUUCAUUUUUUAUUGAUUUAUACUGAAACGCUAAA